UUCGGGAAACCGAAGCUAAUACCGCAUGCGCCCUUACGGGGGUGAAAAGACUUCGGUCGCCAGAGGAUCGGCCUGCGGCCCAUUAUUUAAUCCCUAGGUUGGUAGGGUAACGGCCUACCAAGGGUACGAUGGGUAGCUGGUCUGAGAGGAUGAUCAGCCACACUGGGACUGAGACACGGCCCAGACUCCUACGGGAGGCAGCAGUGGGGAAUAUUGGACAAUGGGCGAAAGCCUGAUCCAGCCACGCCGCGUGAGUGAUGAAGGCCUUCGGGUUGUAAAGCUCUGUCGGGAGGGAAGAAGAUCUGACGGUACCUCCCAAGAAAGCACCGGCUAACUCCGUGCCAGCAGCCGCGGUAAUACGGAGGGUGCAAGCGUUGCUCGGAAUUACUGGGCGUAAAGCGCACGCAGGCC
rnacentral:rRNA from 1 species